rnacentral:lncRNA from 1 species
UUCGAGGAGCUCGGGGGAACAAGACCUGGGGGUCCUGGACUUGUUCAACAGUGCAGGGAGAGGCGACAUGGAAUACGCCGGCGCAGCCGCACACGGCGGCGAGGACGGAGUCGUAGUGGAGGAGCUCCAUCUGGAAGAGGCGGAGGCGCUCCGACGCUCCAUCCAAGGCUUCUAGAUGCUUCGUCUCGCCCUCAUCGUCUGUUAGAAAAAGUUGUGUUGUGCUGUGUAAGUAUUGAGAUCAAAUGAAUGAAUAAUGAGAGUGUGGAUUGUAUUAACUGAGAUUUUGGACGGUGGCGUGAACGGUGUAGCCGCGGUCCAGAAGGAGGUGGACGAGCCAUGAACCGAUGGCGCCGCUGCCGCCGGUGACACACACCACCUUCUCCAUUUGGCAACUGUAUUCUAUCAACCUCCAGUUUUGUACUGUUCCAGUGUAAUCUGCUGAGGCAAAAAAUAAUUAUAAUUUGAAGUCAUAUCUGUACAAAAAAAUAUAUAUGAGUGGUGCAUAAUGAAUCUCAACACUCACAAAAAUCUCAUUAAAUUUUAUUAUUAUUAUAUUAUCAUCUUACAUGCACCAUAUCAGCAAAACCACAAAUUGCAUCACAUUUUGCAACAGAUGCAGGAAUUGAACCAGAAAUCAGAUGAUAGCAUAUACAAUGUUGUGAUGAAAAUUGGCAUGCUUAUUAUUAUUCAUUAAGCAAUAAUAUAUUAUAGAAGUAUUUUAAUCACUGGAUAUUGUUCUACUAGAUGUAAGAAACAGGUCAGUGACUUCUGUUGUUGAAAAAGUAGUAUAAUAGUUAUAAUAUAAUGUGAUUAAAAACCAUUUUUAUUGUUUUAAUAUACUGCUAAUACUACUAUAAUUAAUGUUAUAUUAAACGUUCAUAAUAUUAUUGUUACAACGUAAACCCACCCUUUAAUUGCAAUUUGUACUAUAUUAAAAUAUGAUGUCAACAUAUAUGUUAUUAUAUUAUUAAUGUUAUUAUCCUUUGGAUUUUUGUGUAUGUUUUUAUUUGGAUUUUCGUUUAUUCAAAAUUUUCAAGUAAAACAUUUAUUCAUUUGAGUGGAUUUUUUUAAAGGACUCAACUACGACCUGCUUCACGUGACAGAUGUUACACCUUAAGUACAUUACACCUUUAGCUCUCACAGUAUUCAAUUAACGCUUGAUUUAGCUUUCUGCAGUGUCUUUAUUCCUUAUCUUUCCUUUUGUCAUCAUUUUUAAUGUGCUUCUCUUACACUCUACUUCAUAAAGUUUAUAACCUACAACUUGCUUAAGCAACUUUCUUCUUACAUGGUUGUGCUCACACUUUACCUCAUUUGUCCUUCAUCGCAUCAGAAGUUCAGAUUGUUCACUUAUUUUUGUAAGACGUUAUUCAAAUUUUUGUUUCAAACUCUUGCAAUUUAAAUCGAUUGUUUUAUCCAAUGUUUUUUUUUUAUGGUUGUCUGUCCUUUUCAUAUCUUAUUUUCAACAAAAUGGCUUAUGAAGAACUUCUCCAUAUGUUGUUUGUUUUCACUUAUGGUUAUUGUUCUUUGUCUGCAUUCUAAUUUUUAAGUUUAAUUUUUAGUUAUCUUUAUAUUGGCAUUUCGGAUUAAAUGCAUCUUCAAUUAUUUUUGUAUGAUUUUUUUCCAUUGCUUACUUACUCUGUUUUCUAUUAAAAUUAAAACUUAUUACUUCUUUCAUGGUGGAUUUCAAGCUUUUGUGCUAAAGAAAUGACCUUUACAACUACAACAUCAGCUGUUUUCUAAAUACUUUUUGUUCUCGUUGUUUUUUUAAAAAAAUAUAAUACUAUUUAGGCAUGUAUUGUGCUCCGCUAGAUUUUAUUUAUGUGUUGUCUCAUAAAAGUCUUUCAUUUCACAGUAAAAUGUAUAGUGCAACUUAAAGAGAAAACCACUAUUUCGUUAUGUGUUCUUUUUCAUUAUAUUUUUCUCAAUUUUAUUCUAGUUGUUUUGUUUAACCUAUAUAUGCUUAUGUUGUUUUUAUGUUUUUCUUUUUUUUGUCAUAAGAUUUUGUAUUUAUGAACCUCUUAUUCAGAUUGUGUAACAUUUGAAUCUGGUUUGUUGCACACACUAACAUUGGCAGCUAAAACAAAGUUUUAUUGUUAGUUUAUAUUUACGAAUGUAUGUGUUCUUCUAUUUAUUUAUGUCCUUUCUUAUUUGACCUAUGUCUUUGACUAAUUGAUCAACACACCAAAUCUUCGCAACUACAAAAAUCUUUUAGUAUGCAAGAAUACAAUGUUGUUCCUUCUUCUUCACAAGUUUUAACAAAUUUGGUUUGCUUAUUUUGUUUUUAUGUAUUUUUGCUUUUUUUUUUAUAUGAUUAUGUAAUUAUGAACCUCUUAUGUUGUUGGAUGUCCAGAUUGUGUAACAUUUUAAUCUAAUUUGUUGCACACAAUUAGAUUGGCAGCUAAAGCAAAAUUUUAAUGUUAGUUUAUAUUUACGGAUUUCUGUGUUAUUCUAUUUAUUUAUGUCCUGUUUAUUUAACCUCUGGCUUUGAAGGAUUCAUCAACACACCAAAUAUUGGCAACUCCGUCAAGGAGAUACAUCCUAGAUUUUUUUUUUCUUCUUGUUUUCCAUGCUUGUAAUGCCCAACAUGAGUAUCUAAUUCUACCCUUUGAGAUUUGAGAUUUUCUCUUUAGUUGUUCCUCUACUCUAACACAAAGUUGAACUAAAUCAUUUAAAUCAUUAUAAGGAAAAAGUUCAACUUUAUCCUUAAUUUCAUAAUUAAGACCACUUUGGAAUCGAGCCCUAAUCCGUGCCCUUAACAUAAAUAACUCAAUUAUCUGCUUCUAUUGUUCUACAAUCAUGUUUAUAUGCGUUAACUUAUUGAGUUGUUUCAUCAACUCUCUAUCAUAUUAGGAAGGCUCAUACCUCUUCCUAAGAGCUGAUCUAAACUCAUUCCAAUACCUUAUUUAGGGAAAAUUAUGCAACCUAAGAUCUUUUGUAUAGGUGGUCCACCAAGUCAUGGUUGAAUCUUGAAAACUAAGGGUAGCUAAGGUAUCCCUCCUCUCAUGAUUUAUUUGGUGAGCCGAAAAAAAUUUCAACCUUCAUCUCCAAGGUUACGUAAUCUUCUAUAUUUGAUGAAAAAUGAAAAUAAGGAAGGUCAAUCUUAGGCUCUUUAGGCACAUGAUGGGCUCGAUGUCUAUGUUGUCUAGCAUUUUAUUGGUAGUAGUAUGUAUUGUGAUACCUACUAUAAUCAUAUUGGCUUUGGUAAGGGAUUGUAUGAUGAUUGCUUAUAUGUUUGUGAGAUCCCUCUCUUAGGAAAUCACAAAUUUAGAAAUUAUUUCUUUCAAUUCUGAAAAAUUCAUUUGCUUGUUUUGUUACUCUUUCAUAGACAUUAAAAGAAUCUUGAGUGUUUUGAUUACCAUGAACACUAGAUUGAUGUGAAGGAUCACCCAUUGUUGAAUUAAAAUAGAAAAAGUUUUCACAAAAAUUUACAAUUCAAUUGAGUGAUCAAAAUAUUUUUUGAAAAUAUUUUUUUAAUUUUUGGUGAAGUAAAUAGAUCAAGUAUGAGAGUUCUCCAAGUUCACUCCCACGAAAAGUGAGGUGAGUCACAAUGGACUACUUACAUACCAAGAGCUUAUCCCAAAUAAUUCUCAACAUAAGUUCCCUCAAAAUAAUUUUAGAAAUGAGAGUGGGUGUUUGAAUGUCGAAAUGAAACUAAAGAUCAAAGGAAGAUCUACUAAUAAGCAAAAAAAGAUAAAAAUCCUAUGUAUCACAGAUACUUAAAAGCAAGAAAAUAAAGGAAGGAAAUAAAGGAAGGAAAUAAAAGCAUGAAAUUAAAGCAAGAAAUUAAUGCUAGUGAAAAGUAAAUUAGCCGCAUCCUAAAGUUCAAGUGCAAUUGACACUAAGACUCCAGCAGCACACUUACACCACUAAUGCACAUGUAAUCUAAGAAUUUGAAGUAAAAUAAGUACAAAAGAAGAUGGACAACAAUAUAGAUAAAUAGUUAAGUGAAUCUCAAGAGAACAUUACAAAGAACUUACUUGAAAUGGACUUUAUUAAAAAUUUUAAUUUCAAGAAAUAUACUAAGUUAUGUUGGAGAUCCCACAUCGACUAGAGAUAAGGACAUUUCAUAAUAUAUAAAUGGGUGCAGACCUCAAUCUUAUGAGCCGGUUUUAUGGGGUUGAGUUAGCCUUAAAGUCCACUUCGCAAUAAGUUACUUUUAUACAUAUAGCUUAAUGAACAUAUCAAGGCAUAAGUAAGUAUAUUUGAUUAUUGUUAUAUAACAAAUUCAUUUGUAAUUCACAUUCCUAAAAGUAUUUACAAAAGAUUCGAAGUAAAGCAUGUCCUUAUCUCAAGAUGCACUACUUGUAAACAAAUAACCCAUCAUAUUCUACAUAUUCCUUUGACAAACUUGAUUACCCGAACUAGAAGUUGCUCAGUUGGAGAUCUCACAUCGACUAGGGAUUAGAGCCUUUUAUUGUAUAUAAAUGGAUGCAAACCUCAACCCUGUGAGCCGGUUUUAUGGGGUUGAGUUAGGCUUAAAGUCACAUCUCUAUCUUAGUGGAAAGUAUUGAAUAGAGUAUAAAUCAUAUACAUCUGUGUUAAAAUGAGUAUACAUCUAUAUUAAAAUGAGUGAUGUCAUUCAUACAUCUAAAGAAAUCAAUGUACAUUCUCAUUUCAUAAUAAAAAGAUAUGAAUGACAAUUACAACACAAAGACCCUACCUACCACGAGUUGGUCAUACUCUAAUCUACGCCCAUAAACUAUUUCCCGUGAGUUCUAGGCAUGGAGGCUUCUCAAUGUUUCAAGCUAUAAACAAAGACUGAGAAUUGUACACUCAAUCAUACAAUAAUAUAAAUAAAAACACAGGAAAAAUCAAUAUCCUCGCAUACAAUAACAUAAUCAAGAGGACAAAUUAUAAUAUACAUCAAAAAAUUAAUUUGGUGAAUUUAAAGACUCAACCAUACAUUCAAUCAAAUCAAAAUGUAUUUCACAAGUAUUAUUAUAGGAUAUGACAACCCAAACUAACAUCGUUUUCCUCCCUCAUCCAACGUCUACUUUCAUGACUUACUACUUAAAAGUACACCUUCAUUGAGAUUAUUUAAAAAAAAAACUUAAAUUGUUAUAUGAAGGUGCAUGGGGAAAAUAGAGAGUGGAGGAGAAUUUGCCAAACUAAUGCCCUUUUCUCUUUCCUUUUUUGUACGUAUGCAACACUUUAUAUUCUAAUUUUCAUGCACAUUUCAAUUCUUCACAAAUGACCUACAAACAAAUAGUGGUCCAUAUGCAUAAAACAAAAUGUAACUAGGGUUUCCAUUCGCAUGUAAACACCCCACGUUUUUCUUACUGUACCCAUAUAAAUUAUCCUUAUUAAUUUAUAAUAUUAUUAAUAAAUUGAAUUUUGAAAAAAUGAUUUUUCUCAUGAUUUAAAACUAAUUUGUUUAACAAUUUGAUACAUACAUUAUAUUAUAGUUAAUGAAAAUAAUAAUUAAUAACUAAAAUCUUAAUAACUAAUUAGAUACAAUUUAAAAAUUAUUUUAUAAUUUUUAUUAAUAAUAAAAACUAUUUAAAUACUAAUACUCAUUCAAUUAUAUCAAUUUCCUUCCAAAUCCUCCUCAUACAUAUAGUAAAGAAAUUGUUUUUCGUUUUCCAUGUUCUUUACACGUUUUCUAUUAAUUUCUUUGUGGACAAUAAGUUUAAGCAUUCCAUCUUCAUUUUGAAAAAAGAAACAAACAGGUGAGAGCUACUCAUACGCAAGUUCCUUUUUCAUACUAUUAGAGAAGUGUAGAUUAUGUCAUAGAAGAGCGUCUAAAGGUAACAGAGAUACAAAAAUGUGAAGACAACACAGAAACAUGACAGAAAUAGAGAUCCACCCAUGAACUAAAAUUAGGUAGAAAAUGUUUUACAAAGAUGUCUCUCGUCACUUGUUUUAGAACAAUGCAAACAUAACAACAACCACACCAACAAAUAUAACAGAUUAACAACAACAGGAAUUUGCACCAAACAUAUGUGCCAUAAGGACUCAUAUUGCAGCAGCAAUUAUGGAAGGAAUCCUUUUUUCUUCAAAUCCUCUACAGAAUCCUUAAUAAUCUCCUCAAUUGGAGUGAUUUGCAAACCCAAAUCCAUAAGUUUCUUUGAUCCAUCCUUCACUCUCAAUAAUCCUGGUUGGGUAUCUCGUUGCAUCCUUUCAAGCAAAAUCACAAAAUACAUCAUUCGCAACUAAGUUAUGCAUUAACAAUAGAUGUAUGAAGUGUGUGGGUAACUUACUUAGGCACAUUGUACUCUGGAUAAAGUUCACCAACUUUGGCCGCAAAAUCACCAAAGUGAGAGAUAGAUUCAACACACACAUGCCUACCAACUGCAGAUUUGUUCUCAUACACCAAAAUAUGUGCCAAUGUUACAUCCUUCAAGUGGACCGAUCCCAUAUAAAUGUCCUCGUAUGUUUCAUCAGAACCUGCGACGCGACAUACAAAUUUGUCUCAAAUUAUCAGUAAUUCCCCUAAAAAAAUCAUAACUUGGGGAGUUUGAUAUUAGUAUUCGAGUCAACAAUUAUACUGUGCAAAAUCUAAUGAAAAGAGUAUAGCACAAUCAAACAAGUCUAAUACUUUUCACGAAGGCAUCAAGUUCUAAAUAUCCUACACAGCUACACCAUCAACUACACUGUCGCAGGUCUUAGAAAACAUAUAAAAUAAUAAUAAAAUAAAAAUAUGAAUAAUAAAUUAAUAACAUAAUAAUAAUUAAAUAAUUAAAAUAAUAAUAAAUAAUAAACAAUAAUAAUGUUGGAGAUCUCACAUCGACUAAAGAUUAGAGUCUUUCAUUGUAUAUAAGUGGGUGCAAACCUUAAAUUUAUGAACUUGUGAGUCAUUUCAUUGUAUAUAAAUAAAUGAAAACCGAUUUUAUGGAGUUGACUUAGACUUAAAGUUUAUUUUGUAAUAAAUAAUAAAAAUAACUGAUAGUAAAAAUAUUAAAAUUAAAAUUAUAAACUAAUUAUAAUAUUAUAUUUUUUAUUUAAUUAAAUUAGUUUAUAAUAAUAUAAAUUAAUUAAUUAUUAUAUAUAUUAUUUUUAAAUUUUUUAAAAUUUAUUAUAUUUAUCAAAUUAGUAAUAAACUUAAUUCAAAAAACUUCAUUUUACUCAACUCCUCAAAUUCCCAGUAUCAAAUUUACUCUCCAUUUGAAAAAAACCCAACUUGAUACAAUGAGUUUAAAAAUAACUAUCUAAAAUAAAGAAUAAAUUUAUACUUAUAUAAUAUAAAAAAUAUAUAUUAAAAUAAUAAUAUUGAAAAUUGUAUAAAAAUACUGCAUUGUAUGAUUAUAUGAUUAACCCAAAAGAUAAAGCAUUCUCAAGCUUUUUGGGUAGUAGAAGAUUUCUUGAUACCAUAUUAUAAUAAUAUAAUAAUAUUUUAAAUUAAAAAUAAAUUAAAUAUAAUUAAAAUAUUAUUUUAAGGAUUUGUCAAGUGGAUUUUUUUAUUAUUGUAUGACCACCCAUUUUAGAACUUUUCCAGUUCACAUUUCCAAUAUUGAAGGAAACUCCUGCUGCAAAAAUAGAAAGAAAUAUUUGGAAAAUCCAACUGAUUAAGCAUUAGUGUCUCUACCUUGAAGAAGGCGCAAGAGCAUGAGCAUGCUUGCAUUAAGCCUGGGUGAAAUAAUCGGACCCAUCACAGUGCCAGGAUUCACUACAACAACAUCCAACCCACUCUCCUUUGCAAAUUCCCAAGCUGCUUUCUCCGCCAAAGUCUUCGACAAUGGAUACCACAACUGUUGCACACACAAACACUUCACACACCAACACAUAUAAGAAAAAGAAACAGAAAAUGAAAAAAAUGAAACCCUUUCUAACCCCUUUUUGCUUGCAAAAUUCAACGUCAGCCCAGCAGUCCUCCCUCUUUGGAACAUCACCGGGCCAACUGGGGCUCGGAAUAAUCGCCGAGACGGAGGACGUGACCACCACGCGACGCACUCCUGCUUCUUUCGCUGCCGUUAAUACGUUCACGGUACCCUUUAUCGCCGGGUCCAGAAGAUCCUUCUGCAUGAAGACUCAAAUGGGAUGAUGAAAAAACCCAAAAGAUUGAAAAUUUGUGAAGAGAUCGAGGAAACAAGACCUGGGGAUCCGAGACUUGAUCAACAAUGCAGGGAGAGGCGAGGUGGAAAACGCCGGCGCAGCCGCGCAUGGCAGCGAGUACGGAGUCAUAGUGGAGGAGCUCCAUCUGAAAGAGGCGGAGGCGCUCCGACGCUCCAUCCAAGUCUUGUAGAUGCUUUGUCUCGGCCUCAUCGUCUGUUAGAAAAGUUGUGUUGUGCUGUGUAAGUAUAUAUUGGGAUGAAACGAAUGAAUAAUAAAAGUUUGGAAUGUGCUAACUGAGAUUUUGGACGGUGGCGUGAACGGUGUAGCCGCGGUCCAGAAGGAGGUGCACGAGCCAUGAACCGAUGCCGCCGCUGCCGCCGGUGACACACACCACCUUCUCCAUUUUGCAGCUGUAUUCUAAGAUGCACUACUUGAAGAACUCCACUGUACUAAGAUAAUGAUGACACGUGUAAGAGAGGAAGAAACAAAGAAAACGAAAGACAGCCACAGAAAGAACAGAGAAAAAAUGAAAACGACGUUCAGAUAAAAGGCAAAAAAUGACCGAAGCAAACAGUUCCAAACAGCAAAAUAUUAGGUUUUAUUUUUUAGUGACUAAAUUAAUAUUGAAUUAUAAAUUUUUAAAGAAUACUUGUAUAAUGUAAUUGUCAUAUUUCUCUAUUAUGUAGAAUUGUAGUGAAAUGGAGGUUAAAUAAUGGUGCCCAACUUGCUAGCUGAAGGUUUUAAAAGGCAAGGAAAAAAUGAUAGCAAAUUAACCGUCAUGUACAAAAAAAGUGGUGGUCCCACAAUCACAAAAAUAGCAUAUAAAUUAAAUAAAAGAACUGACACGUAGAGUUUAGUGUAAUUUGAUGAUUUAUUUAUAAAUUAUUAUUUAUGGUUAUUUUACUGAUUUUUGUAAUAAGUAUUUGAUAUAGUUUAGGAGAGGAUAUGGUAUGCUUUAAUAAGAGGAUUUGAGCACACUUAAGCUUAAAUGAGUGUAUAUAAGCAACAAAAGAAAGAAAAAUAAAUCUAUACAAUUGUUGGAUCAUUCCAAGACUCAAUCAUAGAGGAACACAAACUCAUAGUAGAUAAUUUUUUCUUUUCAUUAAUUUAAUUUCCAACUCAUUGAGAUAAUUAUAAAAGCGUUUCUAUCCAUAACAUUAUGACAAAAUGUAGAGUACACCUUAUUUUCUUAAUAUAUAUAAUUUGACUUUUAUUAACCAAGUGGGCUUCUUCAAUGCCUAAAUCAUUUUAAUAUUUGGCUCCAUUAUUGUGUACCUGUUUCUCAUUUUCUGGUUCUUAUCUCAGACCAACUAAAGCCCACCACGUAUCGUUUCCCAAUUUUUACUUUAUGCAUAUGGACCCGCUUUUUGUUUGUUGCUAUUUUACUUUAUUCCUUUUCAUUUUAUUUUUAAUUCAAAAUAUUAUUAUAUUAUUAUAAGUGUUUGUUAAGUGUAUCUUAUUUACUGUUUUUUAUUGUUUAUGGUUUUAAAGAAACUUUUCUCUUUUGUCAUACAUUCACAUGGGGAGUGCUCAUUUGUUUGCAUGAAAAUUGAAAUACUAAGAGUUGCAGAUGUACAAGAAAGAAAGAGUAGCUCUAAACAAAGAAUAACUUUAUUUUUUAAAAUAAUUUCAGUAACAUUCUUAUAACUUUCUUUUAUUUACAGUACUUUCAUUCUUAUGUCGUAAAAUUAGAAAAAGUAGUUUUUUAUCAAUCAAUAUCGAACGGGUGAGUCAUUUAGUUUCGGAAAUCGAUCAACUGCGUUAAAAUACAUUUAAUACACUCAAUAAAUGACUAUUGUUACAAUUAUGAAAACUUCCGACAAAUCAAAGUCAUAUUCCAUCGAAUUUGGGUGACACCCCCAAGAAAAUAGCUAAUAUUGAUUUAUUGAAGAUAUUCUCCAAAUAUACAUCUCUAUAAUUCAAGGAAUCCCCUAAAAAGCCACUUAACACUGAUAUUUGAUAAAUGCGGUUCAUCACACAAAAUGACUCAUGACUAAACAUUAUAAAUAAAUAUUUUACAAAAGAGGAAUGUAUGUUUUUUAUCAGUUUCACUAUACACUCUUAACACAAGGUACUCACUUGAUCGUCGAAAAAUCUUUUGCAAGUUAACUCCUAAUCGACUAUUGAGAAAUUGAGGAUAGGGAGUCUUGAAGUUUGAAGGAGUGAAGUACUAAGGAGCAAGGGAGGGACCGACAACCAAAACAAUUGUUACAGUCAAUCCCAUGUACUAUUUAUGCUCACUUUGUCAAUACAAGUACAAGUUCCAUCAUUUCAACGUGUGUAAGAGGCUUGACGAGAAGAUUUGUUGUAUUCGACAUUCCCCAAUGCGAAGAUAAUUUUUUUUUUUUAGUUUUAUACUUCAUUUUUGCACAUCAUUUUUUUAUGAAUUUUGUGGCUUCCAAAAAAAGAAAAAAAAUAAAUGAAUAAAAACACAGUCACCAUGAGCAAUCACCAUCACUUGAAAAUGAAGAAGACACAACACUCUCCAUCAAAUAUUGUUGGAAUUAAAAAAGAGUAUGGAAGUGGAGAAUGAAGGUACGGAGAUGCAAGGAGAAUUUGCCAUCAAUUUUGUGCAUAUGGGAUUACUUUUUGCAUCACAUUUUGGUAUCACCCUUCCUUCAUAGGUGUUUCUUUCUGCACCUCUACAUUUUUCUUCUUGCACCUCUACAUUUUUCUUCUUGCACCCCUACAUUCAUGUGUAAUUACAAAGUAUCUCUAAGACAUCUAAAAAAACCCAAAAGGAGCAUAUCUCACUCUUUCUUUCUUCCUUUUCUACAAUUGUUGUGCACCUUGUUCAAGGAGCGAACAAAGGACAAUAAGUGGUAAUGCAUUGGGAUGUUGUUGGUGGUUCAUUUUCUGAAAUCUUGAUGGUGGUUAGAUGAUUUCUAAGAUGACUCUGUAUUAAGAAAAGAAGAUAAGUAAUAUUAUUUUUUGUUUACACUGUAUUGAGAAAAGAAGAUAAGUAAUAUUAUUUUUUGGUUACAUAUUGGAUGUUUAAUUUUUUAACUAAUUUUGAAUUCCGUAAUGCAACUUUUAGGAUUUCAGAGACAAGUGAGUCCGUAAUAGAGCACAUUGAUCCAAGAAUUAACUAGAUUGGUGUAUUUGUGUGGUUAUUUACACUUUAUAAACAUGGUUGUAAUUCCUAGCUGUAAUGGCAAAUAGAAAACUCUUGUAGCAGCCAAAUGGAUCCAGACUUUUUUUGUAAAAAACGUGGUGCCCCACUUGCAGCAAACAGAAAAUAACGAGUAAAUAAAAAAAUAGGGUUUGCAGGAAAUAUAGAAAACAAUGAGGAAAGAAAAGAAUGGCAUGUGAAGGCACUGUAAGGAAGGGUGAUGCCACAUCGUGAUCAGAAUGAGUGGUUGUGAUGGAUGAAUGAAUAAUUAAGAUUCCUUCACAUUCUAAACAGUAUCUCACUUUCAUUCUCUAACCAUUUAUAGUAAUAUCCCCACGUAUUCUUUCUUCUUUUAUAACAAAAACAAAAACAACCACCCCUUUUCUCUUUUCUUUUUUAAUUUACUACUUUUAAUAUUAUUAUUUUAAUAUUUUUUUAUAUCAUUUAAUUAUAAAUCAUUCUUUUAUUCUGCUCUCCAUGUGAAUGUUUGAAGAGUAAAUCAUCUAGGUGUCAAAAAGAACAUUGACAUAUUGGUUUAUAAUUAAAAAUUCUUGAUUCUACAUAUUUUUAACUUUGAGUAGGAAGUUGAUGUUAUAUUAUUAUGUUUAUAUUUAUUAGUUCAAAUUUAAUUGAAUUGAAUAACUGAUUUUUUUCUUUAAUUUAUAAUAGAAUUAAACAAUUAUUAAAAUAAUUCAUAUUUAUUAAAACUAACCACACCAACAAAAGUUUAACGAUACAUAUGAUAGUGCCUCAUUUUAGAACUAAGAGGAAUUUGCAGCAAACAUGUGGCUUUUAGGACUCGUAUUGCAGCAGCAAUUAUGCAAGGAAUCCUUUUUUCUUCAAAUCUUCUACAGCAUCCUUAAUAAUCUCUUCAAUUGGAGUGAAUUGCAAACCCAAAUCCAUAAGUUUCGUUGAUGCAUCCUUCACUCUCAGUAAUCCUGGUUGGGUAUCUCGUUGCAUCCUUUCAAGCAAAAUCACAAACUACAUCAUUUACAAGUACGUUAUGCAUUAACAAUACAUGUAUGAAGUGUGUGGGUAACUUACUUAGGCACAUUGUACUCUGGAUAAAGUUCACCAACUUGGGCUGCAAAAUCACCAAAGUGAGAGAUAGCUUCAGCACACAGAUGCCUACCAACUGCAGAUUUGUUCUCAUACACCAAGAUAUGUGCCAAUGCUACAUCCUUAAAGUGGACCGAUCCCAUAAAAAUGUUCUCAUAUGUUUCAUCAGAACCUGCCACGCCACAUACAAAAGGUCACAAAUUCUCAGUAAUUCCCCUAAAACAUCAUAAAUUGGGUAGUUUCAUGUUAAUAUUCCGGUCAACGAUUAUAGAUUAUAUGGUAAAAAAUUUAAUAAAAAAAAAGUGUAGUGAUUUUCACGAAUUAUAAAUGUCCUACGCAUCUAUACCAUCGACCAAGUUGUAGCAGGUCUUGUGAAAUUAGUCUAAUAGUUAGGUAACAACAACAGUAGCCCUAUUCACAUUAUACCAUUUUAAUCAGUUAAAAAUGUAUGCAUCAUUCAUCACAAGAUCCCUAACAUGGUGUUAAAUAGUGGUAUGCGACUAUGACUUUAGUGGUUCCGUCCACAGAUUUGGACGGAUGAAUACAAACAGAAAGCAUGAAAAUCAAAAGUAAAAAAUUGUUAGAUUCUUUCCUCGCAUAGCUGUGAGGAGUAGCAAAGAAAGUUGAAUAAACAUUAUAAUCAUAUAUUUACAAUAAAAUAUAUAUUCUAUAACGGAUCAUUACAUAGUCUGAUGACAUAUAUUUAUCAAAUAAUCCAUUUUUUUAAUAAUAUAAUUGAUUAUGGAAUAUACAUGUUAUUAUAUUUUUAUAUAAUUAUUAUAUUAUAUAUAUACACUAAAAAAAAUAUAAAUAUAGUAAAAAAAAUAAUUAGUUGUUAUAAUAACUAAAUUAGAAAUUAUUUUAAAAACUAAAAAAAAUAAUUUUUAAAUUAGUUUAUAUUAUUAUUAAAUAGUUUUGUAAUUUGUAUUUAAUUAGCUACCAAGGUUUUAACUCCCAAUUAUUUAAUUUCUAAAUUUGGUCGUAAAAAUUUUGGUUGCUAAUUAAAUACUAAUUUAAAAAUUAUUUAAUGAUAAUACAAACUAAUUUAGAAACUAAAGUUUUUUUUUCUCUAAAAUGAUUUAUAAUUUAGUUACUAUAUCAACUAAAUAUUUUUUAUUCUCUAAACAUAGUUUUCUAUUUGAUGUUUUUUUUUAGUGAUAUUAUUAAUUGAUUAAUAUUUGUAUUUUUAUUCUAAACAUAAUUAAUUAUACAAUAUAAUACAAUGUAAUAAUAAUAAGUAGUCAAACAAUAAAGAAAUAUAAAAUAAUAAUAAUAAAAUAGUCUCUACCUUGAAGAAGGUGCAAAAGCAUGAGCAUGCUUGCAUUAAGCCUCGGUGCAAUAACCGGACCCAACACCAUCCCAGGAUUCACUACAACAACAUCCCACUCACUCUCCUUUGCCAAAUCCCACGCUGCUUUCUCGGCCAAUGUCUUCGACAAUGGAUACCACAACUGUUGCACACACAAACACUUCACACCCCAACACAUAACAAAAACAAACACAAAAUUCAAAAAAUGAAAACCCUUUCUAACCGCUUUUUCCUUGCAAAAUUCAACGUCAGUCCAGCACUCCUCCUUCUUUGGAACAUCACCGGGCCAAUUGGGGCUCGGAACAAUCGCGGUGAUGGAGGACGUCACCACCACGCGACGCACUCCAGCUUCUUUCGCUGCCGUUAGCACGUUCACGGUGCCCUUUACCGCCGGGUCCAGAAGAUCCUUCUGCAUGAAGACCCAAAUGGGAUGAUGCAAAAACCCUAAAGAUUGAAAAUUUGCAAGAAGAUCGAGAGAACAAAACCUGGGGGUCCUGGACUUCAUCAACAAUGCAGGGAGAGGCGAUGUGGAAUACGCCGGCGCAGCCGCGCAUGGCUUCGAGUACGGAGUCGUAGUGGAGGAGCUCCAUCUGGAAGAGGCGGAGGCGCUCCGACGCUCCAUCCAAGGCUUUUAGAUGCUUUGUCUCGGCCUCAUCGUCUGUUAGAAAAGUUGUGUUGUGCUGUGUAAGUAUAUAUUGGGAUGAAACGAAUGAAUAAUGAGAGUGUGGAAUGUACUAACUGAGAUUUCGGACGGUGGCGUGAACGGUGUAGCCGCGGUCCAGAAGGAGGUGGACGAGCCAGGAAGCGAUGGCGCCGCUGCCGCCGGUGACACACACCACCUUCUCCAUUUUGCAACUUAAUUCUAACACGAAAACGAUCACUAGAGACUUGAGAAGUCCACUUUGAAAUCAAGAGAAGAAGAAAGAAACAAGUGUAAUGAUGUGACGAACAUACACAUUUUUAUAGAAUAAUAUCACUUCAAUACUAUUAUUUUAAACAUCUAUACAUCCGUAUUUUAUUAUUUUAUUCAAUUUUUAUGUUAAAUUUCAUAAAAAAUUAACAUUAAAUAUAUAAAAAAUAUUACUUAAAAAAUAUUUAUUUUCUUUUUCAAUUUGAGUUUUUUUUUUUUUGAAGUUUUUACUCUUCUUCCAUUGAUAGUUUUGGAAUGAGAGAGUAUAAUGAUGAUAAUGAUUUUAUAAAAAAAUAUAAUUGUUUCUAAUGAGGAAUUGAAAAUAAAUGUUAUUUUAUUUGUUAAAUUUUAUGUAAAAACUUGAUCGUAUGUUUUAUUUUUUUCUUUUGUCUUAAAAUUAAGAAAAGAGUAGGAGAUGUGCAUAUGCAAUAAUAUUAAAAUAAAAAAUAGUUUUAAUUUUUAAUUAAUUUAUAUAAAAUAAUAAAAUAUUUAAUUAUAUUAAUAAAAUGAGAUAUAUUAAAUAAAGAUAAAAUAAAUUAUACACUAAAAAUCGAUUAUAAUAAAAAAAUUAUAUAUAGAUAUAAAUAUUUUUUUAUAUUAUUUAAUUUCAAAGUUAGUCUUUAUUAUAUAUAUUUAAUUGUCAAACUGUAUUAAAAAAAAAAGACAGGGACAGUAGAAUUAAUUUGACAGAAAACGAAAGACAUGGAAAAUUUGACAACAAAAAUAUCGAAAUCAGCAAUGCAGAAUUAAUUAUAGGAAAGUUGGUGAGUACGAAAACCAAUCCAAUUUUUUAAAGGAUCCGGAUUUUUGACAACGUACGCAUCGUAUAACUCUGAAAAAAUCUUAAUAUUUUAAUAGUGUGUGAUCUUCUGUCAUAUUGGAAUCUUUUUCUUAUCUUUUUUGUAGUUUUCAUAUUUUGAGGUUUCUUUCUUUUUUUUAAGCUUCACUAUGUAUUUGCAAAUUUUUCUUUGUGCACUGAAACAUUUAUUUUUUCUUCUGUAUUGUUUUUAUUUGAUCUCGGUUUUAUUUAUUGUUAUCGUUAUUCAUAAUAAUAUUAUUUUUAUUAAUACUAUUAUUAAAAUUAAUAAUAAUACUAAUACUAAUAUUAAUAAUAAUUUAAAUAAUAAAAAUAAUUUUAAUAUUACUACUAAUUAUAAUAAUAUUAUUAUUAUUAGUAAUAAUAUUAGUAUUAGUAGUAAUUAUAAUAAUAAUAAUUAUUAUUAUUAUAAUAAUAUUUUUUAACUAGUGUUAUUUAUUUAUCUUUAUAUUCUUACAAUUCCGAUUUAAUUUAGUCAAAUAUAUUCUUAAAGAAAAAAAAUAUUUAUUGUCAAACAUAAUUUUGAAUUGGAUUUUUUGACAUCAUUGUUAUAAUUUUAUUCAAAAUGAUUUUUUUUAUGUUUAAAUUUCAUAUUGUGAUUAAAUUUAGUAUGAAAGAUUUUAUUUAUUGAAGUACUGAGCAAUUGGACUCGAGUAUGAUUGAGGUUAAUCCGUUGGUCAUUUAAAAAAAUGGUUUAGGAAGUGGUGACCUAGUCUAACGGUUAGAGAGGAUGAUGAAUAAGGUGAAUUGAGUUUGUUUAUAACACAUUAAAUUUAUUAUUCACAUGAAAUUUAUUUUUCACAUGAAAAAUGAAAUCUAUUACUUUAAACAUGAUUGUUAAUAUGGAUAACAAAGACCUACUAACUAAUAAAAUUGUCUUAAAUCAUAAAUUAAAAUUAUUCUACACAACUACAAGUUGGAUUGAUUCGUUAUAAUAAUUGUACACGGAUAACAGUAACAUUAGAGAAAUUCAGCUUGUACGAGACUGUUUUCUCAAUGCCUUGUUUGAGAUUUUAUAUUUUGUUUGACUGUGUGGCUUUGUCGGUAUGGUAGACGUUCCUUGGUAGAAAGAGGAUAAAGUACAAAUUUGUAUAAGGGUUAGACCACUAUGUAGUGGUUCAUAUUUAUUAUUUUUUAUUGAUAAUAAAAAAACAAUUUUAUUAUCAUUUUAUUUUAUUUAUUUUGAUGGAUGUAUUACAAUAGUAUAAUAAAUUAUUAUAGAAUCAUAAUUUUGUAUUAGUUUUUUUUUACGUUCAAGUUAUAUUUAGUAUGUAUUUUUUUAAAAUAAAAUCAUAUUUAUAGAUUUUUGAACUUAUUGAAAUAUCGAAUAAAAUUAUUUGAAAAAUCUAUUAUUGAAUAUUAUAGAUCAUUCCAAGACUCAAUCAUAGAGGAACACAAACUCAUAGUACCAAAGGAUAACUUUUUUUUCAUUAAUUUAAUUUCCAACUCAUUGAGAUAAUUAUAAAAGCAUUUCUAUCCAUAACAUUAUGACAAAAUGUAAAGUACACUUUAUUUUCUUAAUAUAUAUAAUUUGACUUUGAUUAACCAAGUGGGCUUGCUGAUAAAAAAAAAACCAAGUGGGCUUCUUCAAUACCUGCAUCAUUUUAAUAUUUGGUAACAUUGUUUAUGGUUUCCCAAUUUUUACUUUAUGCAUAUGGACCCACUUUUUGUUUGUUGCUAUUUUACUUUAUUCAUUUUCAUUUUAUUUUUAAUUCAAAAUAUUAUUAUAUUAUUAUAAGUGUAUCUUAUUUACUGUUGUUUAUUGUUUAUGGUUUUAAAGUAACUUUUCUCUUUUGUCAUACAUUCACAUGGGGAGCGCUUAUUUGUUUGCAUGAAAAUUGGAAAUAAGGAGUUGAAGACGUACAAGAAAGAAAGAGUAACUCUAAAUAAAAGAAUAACUUCACUUUUUAAAAUAAUUAGUACGUUGAACCGUGGAACGCACGGGAAUUUUUUCAAUAUUUUAUAUGUAAAUAUUAAUAUUAAAAUUAAUAAUUUAAUUUAUUUAUAUAUAAUUUCAGUUAUACUUCCGUAUUUUUAUAUCUUUCUUAUAUAUUUUUAGUUGUAAUAUUUGAAAAAGUAGUUUUUGGAUCGAUCAAUACCAAAUGAGUGAGUUAUUUCACUUUGAAAAUUUAUCAACCACAUUAAAAUACAUUUAAGACACUCAAUAAAUGAGUUGCAACAAUUAUGAAAACUACCUACAAAUCAAAGUCAUAUCCCAUCUCGGUGAUACUCCGGGAAAAUAAUUAAUAUUAAUUUAUUGAAUAUAUUAUCUAAAUAUACAUAUCUAUAAAUCAGGGAAUCUCCUUAAAAAAUCACUUAACACUGAUAUUUGAUAAAUUCGACCCAUAACAAGAAAUGACUCAUGAGUAAACCCUUUACAAAGAAGGAAGAUACGCUUUUGAUCAAUUUCACUAUACACUCUUAACACAAGGUACUUACUUGAUCGUUGAAAAACCUUUUGCAAGUUAACUCCUAAUCGACUAUUGAGAAAUUGAGGAGAAGGAGUCUUGAAGUUUAAAUGAGUGAAGUACUGAGGAGCAAGGGAGGGACCGACAACCAAAACAAUUGUUACAGUCAAUCUCAUGUUAUAUCUAGUCUCACUUUGUCUAUACAAGUACAAGUACCAUAAUUUCAUCGUGUGUAAGAGGCUUGACGAGAAGAUUUGUUGUAUUUGACAUUCUCUAGUGGAAAGACAAUUUUUUUAGUUUUGUACUUCAUUUUUACACAUUGUUUUUUUGUGGUUUCCAAAAAAAAAAAAAACAAAACAAAAACAGAGUCACCACCGAACAAUCAUCAUCACUUGAAAAUGAAGAAGAUACAACACUCUCCAUCAAGUAUUGUUGGAAUUAAAAAAGAGUAUGUAAGUGGAGGAUGAAGAUAUGGAGGUGCAAAGAGAAUUCGCCAUCAAUUUUGUGCAUAUGGGACUACUUUUUUCAUCACAUUUUGGUAUCACCCUUCCUUCAUGGGUGUUUCUUUCUGCACCUUUAUAUUUUUCUUCCUGCACCCCAACAUUCAUGUGCAAUUACAAAAGUAUCUCUAAGACAUCUAAAAAACCCAAAAGGAGCAUAUCUCACUCUUUCUUUCUUCCUUUUCUACAAUUGUUGUAAAAAACGUGGUGGCCCACUUGCAGCAAACAGCAAAUAAUGGGCAAAGAAAACACGAUGACCCCACUUGCAGCAAACAGAAAAUAAUGAGUAAAUAAAAAAAUAGGGUUUGCAGGAAAUAUAGAAAAGAAUGAGGAAAGAAAAGAAUGGCAUGUGAAGGCAUUGUAAGGAAGGGUGAUGCCACAACGUUAUGAGAAUGAGUGGUUGUGAUGGAUGAAUGAAUAAUUAAGAUUCUUUCACAUUCUAAACAGUAUCUCACUUUCAUUCUCUAACCAUUUAUAGUAACAUCCCCACUUAUUCUUUCUUCUUUUAUAACAAAAAACAUAAACAACCACCCCUUUUUUCUUUCCUUUCUUUUAUUUACUACUUUUUUUAUAUCAUUUAAUUAUAAAUCUUUCUUUUGUUCUGAUCCCCAUGUGAAUGUCUGAAGAGGAAAUCAUUUAGGUGUCAAUAAGAACAUUGACAUAUUGGUUUAUAAUUAAAAAUUCUUGAUUUUGCAGACUUUAACUUUGAGUAGAAAGUUGAUAUUAUAUUAUUAUGUUUAUCUAUUUAUUAACUCAAAUUUAUUGAAUUGAAGAACUGAUUUUCUGCUUUGAUUUGUAAUAGAAUUAAACAAUUUUUAAAAUAAUUCAUAUUUAUUUAUUCCUUCAUACUAAUAAUAAAACUAACCACACCAACAAAAGUUUAACAACACAUAUGAUCGUGCCUUAUUUUACAACAACAGGAAUUUGCACCAAACAUAUGUGCCAUAAGGACUCAUAUUGCAGCAGCAAUUAUGGAAGGAAUCCUUUUUUCUUCAAAUCCUCUACAGAAUCCUUAAUAAUCUCCUCAAUUGGAGUGAUUUGCAAACCCAAAUCCAUAAGUUUCUUUGAUCCAUCCUUCACUCUCAAUAAUCCUGGUUGGGUAUCUCGUUGCAUCCUUUCAAGCAAAAUCACAAAGCACAUCAUUUACAAGUAAGUUAUGCAUUAACAAUACAUGUAUCAAGUGUGUGGCUAACUUACUUAGGCACUUUGUACUCUGGAUAAAGUUCACCAACUUUGGCUGCAAAAUCACCAUAGUGAGAGAUAGCUUCAACACACACAUGCCUACCAGCUGCAGAUUUGUUCUCAUACACCAAAAUAUGUGCCAAUGCUACAUCCUUAAAGUGAACCGAUCCCAUAAAAAUGUCCUCAUAUGUAUCAUCACAACCUGAGACGCAACAUACAAAAUGUCACAAAUUCUCAGUAAUUCCCCUGAAAAAUCAUAAAUUGGGUAGAGUUUGAUAUUUGUAUUCGGGUCAACGACUAUAGUGUGCAAAAAUAUAAUGAGAAGAGCAUAGCAUAAUCAAAUAAGUCUAAUACUUUUCACGAAGGCAUCAAGUUCUAAAUGCCCUACGCAACUAUAUACCAUGAACUAAGUUGUAGCAGGUCUUGUGAAAUUAGUCUAAUAACUAGGUAACAGAAACAGUAGCCCUAUUCACAUGAUACCAUUUUAUUCAGUUAAAAUAUUAUACAUUAUUCAUAAUAACAAGGUCCCUAACAUGGUGUUAAAUAGUUUUUUUAUGAGAAAAAAAAAUAAUCAAAAUAUUUCAAUUCAACCGUUAUAAGUCAUAACUAACUAGAUCUCUUAUAUUCAAUAAACAAGUUUCUAAAACAAACCCAAAACAUGACAAUCUACCAACAUGGUUUUCAAUAAUGGUAUGCAACUAUGACUUUAGUAUACAAUUCUUCUCAAAGGAUAUUUUCCUUUAAAAGAAAAAUUCCUUUGUCUUUCUGAGUGUCUCUCAGACACACCUUUCCAUGCAAUCAACGUUUCUCUAGUGGCUCAGUAAUACUUCUGUAAUAAUGCAGAAUAUUUCAGCACUUCUCAAUAUUCAAGAGACUCCUACUGCAAGAUUAGAAAGCAAUAUUUGGAAAAGGCAAUUGAUUAAGCAUAAGUCUCUCUCUACCUUGAAGAAGGCGCAAGAGCAUGAGCAUGCUUGCAUUAAGCCUGGGUGCAAUAACCUCACCCAAAACAAUGCCAGGAUUCACUGUAACAACAUCCAACCCACUCUCCUUUGCAAAAUCCCAAACUGCUUUCUCCGCCAAUGUCUUCGACAAUGAAUACCACAACUGUUCCACACACAAACACUUCACACACCAACACAUAACAAAAACAAACACAAAAUUCAAAAAAUUAAAACCCUUUCUAACCGCUUUUUGCUUGCAAAGUUCAACGUCAGCCCAACACUCCUCCCUCUUUGGAACAUCACCGGGCCAAGUGGGGCUCGGAAUAAUCGCCGCCACGGAGGACGUCACCACCACGCGACGCACUCCUGCUUCUUUCGCUGCCGUUAGCACGUUCGCGGUGCCCUUUAUCGCCGGGUCCAGAAGAUCCUUCUGCAUGAACACCCAAAUGGGAUUAUGCAAAAACCCAAAAGAUUGAAAAUUUGCGAGAAGAUCGAGAGAGCAAGACCUGGGGGUCCUGGACUUGACCAACAAUGCAGGGAGAGGCAAUGUGGAAUACGCCGGCGCAGCCGCGGAUGGCUUCGAGUACGGAGUCGUAGUGGAGGAGCUCCAUCUGGAAGAGGCGGAGGCGCUCCGACGCUCCAUCCAAGGCUUGUAGAUGCUUUGUCUCGGCCUCGUCGUCUGUUAGAAAAGUUGUGUUGUGAUGUGUUAGUAUUGGGGUGAAACGAAUGAAUAAUAUUGAGAGUGUGGAAUGUACUAACUGAGAUUUUGGACGGUGGCGUGAACGGUGUAGCCGCGGUCCAGAAGGAGGUGGACGAGCCAGGAACCGAUUGCGCCGCUGCCGCCGGUGACACACACCACCUUCUCCAUUUUGCAACUUAAUUCUAACACGAAAACGAUCACGAGAGACUGGAGAAGUCCACUAUGAAUUCAAGAGAAGAAGAAAGAAAGAAAGAAGUG